AACUUUGCACAGUGGCAGUAUCAUAGCCAAUGAGGUUUAUCCGAGGCAUGAUUAUUGCUAAUUAAAACAUACUUUAAAAUAACUCACGGAUCAAAGAAGGCACCAUACAGGGAAUGAGAAAAUGCUUAGAAUAAUAUUGA